ACCGGAGGAAGGUGGGGAUGACGUCAAGUCAUCAUGGCCCUUAUAGGUGGGGCUACACACGUCAUACAAUGGCUGGUACAAAGGGUUGCCAACCCGCGAGGGGGAGCUAAUCCCAUAAAGCCAGUCGUAGUCCGGAUCGCAGUCUGCAACUCGACUGCGUGAAGUCGGAAUCGCUAGUAAUCGUGGAUCAGAAUGUCACGGUGAAUACGUUCCCGGGUCUUGUACACACCGCCCGUCACACCAUGGGAGCGGGUUCUGCCAGAAGUAGUUAGCCUAACCGCAAGGAGGGCGAUUACCACGGCAGGGUUCGUGACUGGGGUGAAGUCGUAACAAGGUAACCGUAAAGGGCGAAUUCUGCAGAUAUCCAUCACACUGGCGGCC
rnacentral:rRNA from 1 species